GUUCACUUUAACACUGAGGCGUGAUGACGAGGCACUACGGUGCUGAAGCAACAAAUGCCCUGCUUCCAGGAAAAGCCUCUAAGCAUCAGGUAACAUCAAAUCGUACCCCAAACCGACACAGGUGGUCAGGUAGAGAAUACCAAGGCGCUUGAGAGAACUCGGGUGAAGGAACUAGGCAAAAUGGUGCCGUAACUUCGGGAGAAGGCACGCUGACACGUAGGUGAAGUGAUUUACUCACGGAGCUGAAGUCAGUCGAAGAUACCAGCUGGCUGCAACUGUUUAUUAAAAACACAGCACUGUGCAAACACGAAAGUGGACGUAUACGGUGUGACGCCUGCCCGGUGCCGGAAGGUUAAUUGAUGGGGUCAGCGCAAGCGAAGCUCCUGAUCGAAGCCCCGGUAAACGGCGGCCGUAACUAUAACGGUCCUAAGGUAGCGAAAUUCCUUGUCGGGUAAGUUCCGACCUGCACGAAUGGCGUAAUGAUGGCCAGGCUGUCUCCACCCGAGACUCAGUGAAAUUGAACUCGCUGUGAAGAUGCAGUGUACCCGCGGCAAGACGGAAAGACCCCGUGAACCUUUACUAUAGCUUGACACUGAACAUUGAGCCUUGAUGUGUAGGAUAGGUGGGAGGCUUUGAAGUGUGGACGCCAGUCUGCAUGGAGCCGACCUUGAAAUACCACCCUUUAAUGUUUGAUGUUCUAACGUGGACCCGUUACCCGGGUUGCGGACAGUGUCUGGUGGGUAGUUUGACUGGGGCGGUCUCCUCCUAAAGAGUAACGGAGGAGCACGAAGGUUGGCUAAUCCUGGUCGGACAUCAGGAGGUUAGUGCAAUGGCAUAAGCCAGCUUGACUGCGAGCGUGACGGCGCGAGCAGGUGCGAAAGCAGGUCAUAGUGAUCCGGUGGUUCUGAAUGGAAGGGCCAUCGCUCAACGGAUAAAAGGUACUCCGGGGAUAACAGGCUGAUACCGCCCAAGAGUUCAUAUCGACGGCGGUGUUUGGCACCUCGAUGUCGGCUCAUCACAUCCUGGGGCUGAAGUAGGUCCCAAGGGUAUGGCUGUUCGCCAUUUAAAGUGGUACGCGAGCUGGGUUUAGAACGUCGUGAGACAGUUCGGUCCCUAUCUGCCGUGGGCGCUGGAGAACUGAGGGGGGCUGCUCCUAGUACGAGAGGACCGGAGUGGACGCAUCACUGGUGUUCGGGUUGUCAUGCCAAUGGCACUGCCCGGUAGCUAAAUGCGGAAGAGAUAAGUGCUGAAAGCAUCUAAGCACGAAACUUGCCCCGAGAUGAGUUCUCCCUGAGACUUAGAGUCUCCUGAAGGAACGUUGAAGACGACGACGUUGAUAGGCCGGGUGUGUAAGCGCAGCGAUGCGUUGAGCUAACCGGUACUAAUGAACCGUGAGGCUUAACCUUACAACGCCGAAG
rnacentral:rRNA from 1 species